UCCCAGCAGUCCAAGUUGCAGCCAACUUUAUUGGGUCUAAAACAUCCGUAGCUUGUUCAAUAAGUCUCUUGUGAAAUCUGGCACCUCAAGUGUCAGGCGGGCAAGAGAUACUAUUGGGCUUGAGACCGGUAGAUGUAAGGAGUACAUCUAAGGUAGUGGUAAAAUACGUUAAUCUUAGAUGGACUAACAAUUGGCGAAGGCACCUUACAAGGACGGAUCUGACAGUGAGGGAUGAAGGCCAGGGGCGCAAAACGG
rnacentral:rRNA from 1 species